rnacentral:rRNA from 1 species
UGCGUAGGCGGUAAGGUUAGUCUGGUGUGAAAGCCCCACUGCUCAACAGGGGGAGCGCGCCGGAAACUGCUUUACUUGAGUAUAGAAGAGGAAAAUGGAAUUCCAUGUGUAGCGGUGGAAUGCGGAGAUAUAUGGAAGAACACCGGUGGCGAAGGCGGUUUUCUGGUCUAAUACUGACGCUGAGGCACGAAAGCCAGGGGAGCAAACG